CAAUAGCGUAUAUUAAAGUUGUUGCGGUUAAAAAGCUCGUAGUUGGAUUUCUGCCGAGGACGACCGGUCCGCCCUCUGGGUGUGUAUCUGGUUUGGCCUGGGCAUCUUCUUGGAGAACGUAGCUGCACUUGACUGUGUGGUGCGGUGUCCAGGACUUUUACUUUGAGGAAAUUAGAGUGUUUCAAGCAGGCACACGCCUUGAAUACAUUAGCAUGGAAUAAUAAGAUAGGACCUCGGUUCUAUUUUGUUGGUUUCUAGAGCUGAGGUAAUGAUUAAUAGGGAUAGUUGGGGGCAUUCGUAUUUAACUGUCAGAGGUGAAAUUCUCGGAUUUAUGAAAGACGAACAACUGCGAAAGCAUUUGCCAAGGAUGUUUUCAUUAA
rnacentral:rRNA from 1 species